UAGUCAUAUGCUUGUCUCAAAGAUUAAGCCAUGCAUGUCUAAGUAUAAACAAAUUUGUACUGUGAAACUGCGAAUGGCUCAUUAAAUCAGUUAUAGUUUAUUUGAUGGUACCUAACUACUUGGAUAACCGUGGUAAUUCUAGAGCUAAUACAUGCACAAAAACCCGACUUCUGGAAGGGUUGUAUUUAUUAGAUACAAAACCAAUGCGGGGCAACCCGGUUUUUUGGUGAUUCAUAAUAACUUUGCGAAUCGCAUGACCUUGCGUCGGCGAUGAUUCAUUCAAAUUUCUGCCCUAUCAACUUUCGAUGGUAAGGUAUUGGCUUACCAUGGUUACAACGGGUAACGGGGAAUUAGGGUUCGAUUCCGGAGAGGGAGCCUGAGAAACGGCUACCACUUCCAAGGAAGGCAGCAGGCGCGCAAAUUACCCAAUCCUGACACAGGGAGGUGGUGACAAAAAAUAACAAUACAGGACUUAUAAAAGCCUUGUAAUUGGAAUGAGAACAAUUUAAACCCCUUAUCGAGUAUCAAUU
rnacentral:rRNA from 1 species